CCCCGCUCUACCUGGCCCCUGUCUCUGGGCUCAAGAAUAACUGUGUUUUGAAAGAGAAGGGGUGAGAGGGAAAAUGACUGGUAGGGAAGUGGAGAGGUGUGAUAAUAAUAUCCGACUGCGCUGGAGAGACUGACUGGGACACAGACGUCGUUGUAUGAGGAGGACGAUCAUUUUUCAUCCUAAAGAACAACCCUCUAUCUCUCCAUCAUUUUGUCUCUACCUUCCAGUCCCAGGUGGUCAUGUUAACGUAAGGGAACAUGACAAAAUAGAUUCCUAAGGAAUAAGAGGGUGUCAUCAUAGAUUAACCUUCAUCCUUUUCUUCUGACGUUCAUUAUGUGUUUCUGGUCAUAAUCCUGUCAUUUCCCUCCUUACCUCUCUCUCUCUCUCCCUCUCUCUCUUUCUCUCCCUCUUUCUCUCCCUCCUUACGUCUCUCUCUUCCUCUCUCUCUCUCCUUCCUUACCUCUCUCUCUCUCUCUCUCUUCCUCUCUUUCUAUCCCUCCUUACUUCUCUCUUCCUCUCUCUCUCCUUCCUUACCUCUCUCUCUCCCUCUUACUGCCAUCUGUGUGUUUUAUCACUGUCAUUCCUUCCUCAUCUCAACCUCUUCUGUCUCAACAGUAUCUGUGUGUGUGUACAUGUCCACUGGGUGUGAGCAUGCUCUCUCUGUCUCUCUCAUCUCGCCCCUCUUUUUCACUAUGCCUCACCCUCUCUCUCUCCCCCUUACUCUCUCUCUCCCCCUCUGUCUCCAUCUGGCUGUGUGUCUAUUUUGGUCAGAGACAUUUAGUGGGCCAUUAGGAUCUUGUGUUUGGAAGCCAGCAGGGCUUUUAACAAAGCAGCCAGACUGAUACACUCUCUCUCUCUCUCUCUCUCUCUCUCUCUCUCUCUCUCUCUCUCUCUCUCUCUCUCUCUCUCUCUCUCUCUCUCUCUCUCUCUCUCUCUCUCUCUCUCUCUCUCUCUCUCUAAAGGGGAAAUGUGGGUAUUUGUAUGAUAGAGAGGUAGAUAAGGGGGAGCAAGUGUCUAGGGCAGGGUUGCAUGAGCAAUAACUAAUAAAAUGAUACAACCAGCUCAUCAAACUGGGGGGUUUAUUCCCUACUUCCAACACUUCUCAACCCUCCGGAAUAUUUUCAUUGAAAAAGGGCGUAUCAUGACUAGCCUGUAGCACACUACAUCUCAGCUGAAUUGUAUGCACAGACAGAAACACAAACACAGACAACCACACACACACCCUUCAGAAUGCAGGGAUGUAAAAGAAGGGCCUUCAGGCAAAGAGAUGACACUGGCCCUCUACACACUUGAGUACCCUCUACCUCCUGUAACUGCAAUCCUCACAGACACGUACACACACAAACACACACGUGCACACACCUCUCAGUCCUCGACUAAAAAGUGCAGUGGUUAAAUCAGGUCUCCUCUCUCUGUGCUAUCCCAGUGGUUAACUCAGGUUCCUCUCUGUGCUAUCCCAGUGGUUAACUCAGGUUCCUCUCUCUGUGCUAUCCCAGUAGUUAACUCAGGUUCCUCACUCUGUGCUAUCCCAGUAGUUAACUCAGGUUCCUCUCUGUGCUAUCCCAGUGGUUAACUCAGGUUCCUCACUCUGUGCUAUCCCAGUGGUUAACUCAGGUUCCUCUCUGUGCUAUCCCAGUGGUUAACUCAGGUUCCUCUCUGUGUGCUAUCCCAGUGGUUAACUCAGGUUCCUCUCUGUGCUAUCCCAGUGGUUAACUCAGGUUCCUCUCUGUGCUAUCCCAGUGGUUAACUCAGGUUCCUCUCUGUGUGCUAUCCCAGUGGUUAACUCAGGUUCCUCUCUGUGCUAUCCCAGUGGUUAACUCAGGUUCCUCUCUGUGCUAUCCCAGUGGUUAACUCAGGUUCCUCUCUGUGCUAUCCCAGUAGUUAACUCAGGU
rnacentral:lncRNA from 1 species